rnacentral:rRNA from 1 species
AUGUGUCAAGGGGAAGUGGCUUUCAUUAUGUUCUUGUGCCGCACGUACUAUGUUUUGUGCCGUAAUUGCCCAUGUACGAUACAGGGGGACAUGCCUGGGCCAUUGACUCCUUUAAAUGUGCCACCCCUGAUUUUCCUAAAAGGAGUCAUAUUACUACCAGAAAUGGAGGAGUCCAGGACAUACGUGCAAGAUGACCAAGAUGGAGGGAAGGAAGCCACUGACCAACACUAUUAUAUAAAUUUGUGCCCUCAAGACAGAGCACCAUCUUCAGUCGGACAAAGAUCUCUAGAAGCCCUAGAUUAUAGUAGAUUCAAUCUAGACAUAAAGCCGAAACCGUCCAUCUCUAUCAUAUUUUAUUUGCAUUUUGUUUCGCGAUCCUUAAAAUUCUAA